CACACACUCACACACACCCAACACACGUGUGCACACACACACACGCGGUGAUGAAUGUGUAAUCACACUGAUUAAGUUGUUAUUAGAGGGCAGGAGAUCCUCUGUAGGAAAUGGGGGUGAGACACACAGAUGAUUAUUUACAUCCCUCUAUUCUAACCACAGCUGGAAUAGAGAGGGGGAGGCAGAGAAAUAUGAAUGUACGGCUUGGUGGGGUCUAGUUCAUUUCUCUCCCUCUCUGGUGUCUUUUUUACUCAUACUUGUUCUUACCAGAAGGUGGUGCUGCUGCAUCUUCACUAUGAAACUUGAAAAGCUUCAUACUGCUUCCCGAGGAAGAGAGCUGUGUAACAGAACACAUGGAAGAAAAUCAAAACUCCCUCAGAGAAAAGGGCUGGUUAAAUCAGCAGCUAUAAUUCAUGGACAGAAUCUUCACCUUUUAUUCAGUUUAAAUUCUCAGAGGUUUUGUUGUUAUUAGAUUGAAGUG
ensembl:lncRNA